UGAGGUUAUUUUAAAGUAUAUUAUGCAUUAAAAUGUUUUUUAUUAGAGAUAUGACAUGUAAUCAUUAUUUUGACAAAGGUCUGUUCGUGAGCUUUCGAAACCUUAUGUAUAUGAUUUCAGCAUAUUGAUGCUAUUACUGAUUCCGCGAACAUGAUGUUUAAAGAAAAGAAUGGAAAUGUUAUUAUCAUGAAAUGUCAUGCAAAACAAGAAAUUUCAAUAUGAUGUAAAGUAUGAAAUGUUUUUGGGUUAUGUCCUCUGGUAAUCUGAACUCGGCUAGUAGGGGUUAAUUACUGGUUUUCUAUAAAAAAAUGUUAUAUGUUUGGCCAUUUAAAGUAGAGGAAAUGAGGCUGCCUGUAACUCUAGGCCAUUUAAAGUAGGGGAAAUAGGGUUGCCUGUAACUCUAAUCUGAAUAAGGCCUUCUUCCCAAUGUGUAUGGACGGCGGGGAGGAAUAAAACCUUGAGGAGAUGUGUCAUCAGACCUCUCAAAGAGGACAAUAUCAUGCACACGGGGUCACCCAAAUGUGAUGAGGCCCUCUCUAUACAGCUUAUCAGACAUGGACUAACCAAUAUGUUAUGAACAGUUAUGUUAUGUUAUUAAUCAUGAGAGAAUUAUUUUGUUUAAAUGCAUUGUGAAAAGUGAAAGCUCUCAUGGCAAGAAGAAAUUUCUAAUGAAAAGAAAAGCUGUUCAUUAAAGAUAAAAGUUUCUGAAAUUCUGUUAUGCUAUAAAGUUAGCAGGUUUUAUUUUGGAGCAGAGGGAGCCUUAGUCGAGUUUGGAAGGAGUUGAUUUUAGUUUUAUAUGUAUAGAUCCUAAAUUAGCAAUUUGAUGUUUAGUUUUGUAGUAUUGUGUAUUUUAGGAUCUAAAGAAAGUUGUGUACCUUAAAGUAUUAAGUGAUAUAUUAUGUGAAAGUGUGGAAAUUAAAUGAUUGGUGGAUUAUGUUA